rnacentral:rRNA from 1 species
AGAGUUUGAUCCUGGCUCAGGAUGAACGCUGGCGGCGCGCCUAACACAUGCAAGUCGAACGGCACCCACCCUCGGGUGGAAGCGAGUGGCGAACGGCUGAGUAACACGUGGAGAACCCGCCCCCUCCUCCGGGAUAGCCUCGGGAAACCGUGGGUAAUACCGGAUGACCCCGGCAGGCCGCAUGGCCGGCCGGGCAAAGCCCAGACGGGAGGGGAUGGCUCCGCGGCCCAUCAGGUAGACGGCGGGGUGACGGCCCACCGUGCCGACGACGGGUAGCCGGGUUGAGAGACCGACCGGCCAGAUUGGGACUGAGACACGGCCCAGACUCCUACGGGAGGCAGCAGUGGGGAAUCUUGCGCAAUGGGGGGAACCCUGACGCAGCGACGCCGCGUGCGGGACGAAGGCCCUCGGGUCGUAAACCGCUUUCAGCAGGGAUGAGACAAGACGGUACCUGCAGAAGAAGCCCCGGCUAACUACGUGCCAGCAGCCGCGGUAAUACGUAGGGGGCGAGCGUUAUCCGGAUUCAUUGGGCGUAAAGCGCGCGUAGGCGGCCCGGCAGGCAGGGGGUCAAAUGGCGGGGCUCAACCCCGUCCCGCCCCCUGAACCGCCGGGCUCGGGUCCGGUAGGGGAGGGUGGAACACCCGGUGUAGCGGUGGAAUGCGCAGAUAUCGGGUGGAACACCGGUGGCGAAGGCGGCCCUCUGGGCCGAGACCGACGCUGAGGCGCGAAAGCUGGGGGAGCGAACAGGAUUAGAUACCCUGGUAGUCCCAGCCGUAAACGAUGGACGCUAGGUGUGGGGGGACGAU